AGCAGGUGGGAUUUAUGAAGCUACUGAAGUCCGGAUCCUGUCAGCAGGAGCCGGAUGGAGGGAAUGCCAAAAUGCUGACUGCACUCGGAGAAGCUCUCAUCGAUAUAUCUUCGGACAGGGGUUCGACUCCCCUCGCCUCCACCA
rnacentral:tmRNA from 1 species